GUUUUUCCAGUCAGAGGGCUAUGCAGUUUUCUUGGUUAUAAACUGAUUUGCAUAAGCAGCAGUUCACCUGAGCAGGCAUGUGGGUCAUCCUGUCUCUUAACCAGGCAUGAGCUACAUUGUUCCUGUCUCUUAACCAGGCAUGAGAUACAUUGUUCCUGUCUCUUAACCAGGCAUGAGAUACAUUGUUCCUGUCUCUUAACCAGGUAUGAGAUACAUUGUUUCUGUUUCUUGACCAGGUAUGAGAUACAUUGUUCCUGUCUCUUAACCAGGCAUGAGAUACAUUGUUACUAUUUCUUAACCAGGCAUGAGAUACAUUGUUCCUGUUUCUUGACCAGGUAUGAGAUACAUUGUUUCUGUCUCUUGACCAGGCAUGAGAUACAUUGUUCCUGUCUCUUGACCAGGCAUGAGAUACAUUAUUUCUGUCUCUUGACCAGGUAUGAGAUACAUUGUUUUUCUUGGUUCUAUUGCAGGAUUAAUUUGUUCUGGCUGUGGAACUGGGGAAACACGUUAUCAGGAGCAGCUCUGCUGGAGAUGAAUUUCAUCCAUUCUAAACUGAUAUUUCUAGUUUCUGAGUGCGCUCAUGCCCAGGAUGCUGGAGAGGUGCAGCCUCUGUGGGAAUCCUGUCAUUUUCUGUACUUUUCAAUAGCUAACAUGAUUCAUCAUGGUGCUAUUACACGUUCUGAAUUAUCCCUCUUCUUUAAAGCUAUGUGUGAAUAAGGAAAUCUGUUUCCCUUUGUGUUGAAUUUAAAAUAGAGAUGUGUUAUGGAUUAUC
rnacentral:lncRNA from 1 species